GGGUUGUGAGGUUAAGCGACUAAGCGUACACGGUGGAUGCCCUGGCAGUCAGAGGCGAUGAAGGGCGUGCUAAUCUGCGAUAAGCGCCGGUAAGGUGAUAUGAACCGUUAUAACCGGCGAUACCCGAAUGGGGAAACCCAGUGUGACUCGUCACACUAUCAUUAACUGAAUCCAUAGGUUAAUGAGGCGAACCGGGGGAACUGAAACAUCUAAGUACCCCGAGGAAAAGAAAUCAACCGAGAUUCCCCCAGUAGCGGCGAGCGAACGGGGAGGAGCCCAGAGCCUGAAUCAGCAUGUGUGUUAGUGGAAGCGUCUGGAAAGGCGCGCGAUACAGGGUGACAGCCCCGUACACAAAAGCGCAUGUGCUGUGAGCUCGAUGAGUAGGGCGGGACACGUGGUAUCCUGUCUGAAUAUGGGGGGACCAUCCUCCAAGGCUAAAUACUCCUGACUGACCGAUAGUGAACCAGUACCGUGAGGGAAAGGCGAAAAGAACCCCGGCGAGGGGAGUGAAAAAGAACCUGAAACCGUGUACGUACAAGCAGUGGGAGCCCCACCACCAAAGCAUUCUCUGGUGUUGAAGGCCCUGCAAAGCAGCAUCGCGGUGGCGGAGCGUCGUUUGCGACGCCCAACACAAAAAACAAGCGGUGAGUGCUUUGGGGUGGGGUGACUGCGUACCUUUUGUAUAAUGGGUCAGCGACUUAUAUUCUGUAGCAAGGUUAACCGAAUAGGGGAGCCGUAGGGAAACCGAGUCUUAACUGGGCGUUAAGUUGCAGGGUAUAGACCCGAAACCCGGUGAUCUAGCCAUGGGCAGGUUGAAGGUUGGGUAACACUAACUGGAGGACCGAACCGACUAAUGUUGAAAAAUUAGCGGAUGACCUGUGGCUGGGGGUGAAAGGCCAAUCAAACCGGGAGAUAGCUGGUUCUCCCCGAAAGCUAUUUAGGUAGCGCCUCGUGAAUUCAUCUCCGGGGGUAGAGCACUGUUUCGGCUAGGGGGCCAUCCCGGCUUACCAACCCGAUGCAAACUGCGAAUACCGGAGAAUGUUAUCACGGGAGACACACGGCGGGUGCUAACGUCCGUCGUGAAGAGGGAAACAACCCAGACCGCCAGCUAAGGUCCCAAAGUCAUGGUUAAGUGGGAAACGAUGUGGGAAGGCCCAGACAGCCAGGAUGUUGGCUUAGAAGCAGCCAUCAUUUAAAGAAAGCGUAAUAGCUCACUGGUCGAGUCGGCCUGCGCGGAAGAUGUAACGGGGCUAAACCAUGCACCGAAGCUGCGGCAGCGACACUGUGUGUUGUUGGGUAGGGGAGCGUUCUGUAAGCCUGUGAAGGUGGCCUGUGAGGGUUGCUGGAGGUAUCAGAAGUGCGAAUGCUGACAUAAGUAACGAUAAAGCGGGUGAAAAGCCCGCUCGCCGGAAGACCAAGGGUUCCUGUCCAACGUUAAUCGGGGCAGGGUGAGUCGACCCCUAAGGCGAGGCCGAAAGGCGUAGUCGAUGGGAAACGGGUUAAUAUUCCCGUACUUGGUGUUACUGCGAAGGGGGGACGGAGAAGGCUAUGUUGGCCGGGCGACGGUUGUCCCGGUUUAAGCGUGUAGG
rnacentral:rRNA from 1 species